rnacentral:rRNA from 1 species
CGCCUACGGGACGCAGCAGUGGGGAAUAUUGCACAAUGGGGGGAACCCUGAUGCAGCGACGCCGCGUGGGCGAGGAAGUAUUUCGGUAUGUAAAGCCCUAUCGGCAGGGAAGAAGAAAUGACGGUACCUGAAUAAGAAGCACCGGCUAAAUACGUGCCAGCAGCCGCGGUAAUACGUAUGGUGCAAGCGUUAUCCGGAUUUACUGGGCGUAAAGGGAGCGCAGGCGGGGGGCCAAGGCUGAUGUGAAACCCCGGGGCUCAACCCCGGGCAUGCCUUUGGAACUGGCGGGCUGGGGGGCC